rnacentral:lncRNA from 1 species
UUUACGAUUAUGAUUGUGUCUCCUUAUGGAUUUUGUCUUGUCUCAUGAGCCGGACGCCUUGCCGAAUUCCUCGGCCGGACGCCUUGCCCAUCCUCUGAAAUCUGAAAGAUAACGCAUUGAAAUAUCUGCGUUGAAAGUAGUUUGGUUAAGUUAAAAGUUAAAAAGUGGUCAAGUAAACGUCUCAAGCCGAAAGCCGUAAGCCAGCCAGUCAGCUUUGAUAAAUAGAAACUAAUUACACUACUGAUGGGCGACGGGGCCAGUCGACGAGGCCUUCGAAGGCCGCGUUGUCGCGAUACAGUCUCUUGGGGUACAGCGGCCGUCGCCCGUCUGGACAGCUCGGCCGGGGAGAUGGCCUAACCUUUAUCUGACACGCUGACACGCCUAGCGCGGGGCGCGGGGCACGGGGCGGCCCCCUUACUGGGGGGGUAGGCACCUCCCAGUAGGUGCCCCUGCGUGUCGGUAUCCCCGAUUUCUCGCCAGCCCCUGCUUUCCCCCAUGCACCGCGCCUACCUAUAGCUGCGUAAUGAUUAUAUGCAUGCAUGGGCCGCGGCGAAUCGGCGCGUGAAGCCCCGGCGGUAUCGAAAUGGGACUUUACGUGUUCCUGACCCGCCUAGCCUCCUGCCGCCUGCGUGUCGGUGUCCCCGAUUUCUCGCCAGCCCCUGCUUUCCCCCAUGCACCGCGCCUACCUACAGCUGCUAUUUAAUCGCAAAAGGUGCCGCGUACCUCAUAACUGAAGCCUGGGAUGACAGCGUAUGAUAACUCGAACACACAGGCAUUCUGACUUGCCACCAGCAGGCCGACAAAUUUGCUUUCAUUAUGGCUGCUUGCAUAACAAAUUGCGGGUGCGAGGCGAAGUGCAGUCUUGCGUACGGCUAAAGUCGCAAGUUGCAAGUCGCAACUCCCAGCUCGCAACUCGCAAGGAACUCACAUAAUUUUUAUUAUCCUUUCUUACGCGAAUACAUACGUGAACCACGCCUGUAGGGUGUAAACACAGCGCAUUUGUGGCGUCCGCGUCUGCAGCCGAUCGCAGGCGCAACUAUGCUGAAGUGGCUUGCGGCCUAUGUGGCUUCAUCUGUCUGAGCAAUGCAAUGUAGCUGUUCAUACGCACAAGCUCACUCAGGCCUCAUCUGGUAACAACGUGCAAGUUCUUAUCAGUAUUUGCUUAUGGGCCUUCUGGUGGGGUUCCGAGGACUUUCGCCAAUUGGGGAGUCUAAUGGCAAAUUCCCCUGUGGUUGCGGGUUCUGAGCCUGCCCUUGGAUUUGCUUUUGGCUGUCUAGGUGACUUGCGUUGUCUGGUCUCGGUGGGAAUCUUGUUUGCCCUCAUUGUAUCAGGUGCAGUGCACGGCCUGCUGGCCCGCUGGCUGUACUCUUUGUGAGUCUGGAGCCCACUGUAACAACCACACUGCCUCGAGGCAUCCCUAGCCCCGGCGGUGAACUGAUAGGAACUAGCCUAGUCCACACAAGUUCCGCACAAGUGUGGGGGUGUCCGUAAAAGCCGGGGGGCAAAUGGGCGGUAAAUCGUUUUUAGGUUACGUGGUGGACCAUCAUCGUCCACCCUCGUGCACUUGAGCACGAAGCGCCAUAGAGCAACGUGCCUGGUCUCCUAGACUUUCGAGAGGAACCUGGCUAGUGCCAGGGGUGGGG